AGACUGUCCAAAGCAAACAUGGUGUGCAGAAGAAGAAAGAAUCUACGAUUCCAAUAAAUGUUGCUAUAAAUGUAACAAUGACUGCAGGACUACUCCUGUGAAUGUGACCAUUAAGUACAAUGGUUGUAGGAAGAGGAUCGAGAUGGCUAGAUGUGCAGGAGAGUGCAAAAGGAC